rnacentral:misc_RNA from 1 species
GAUGAAGAACGCAGCGAAAUGCGAAAAGUAGUGUGAAUUGCAGAAUUCAGUGAAUCAUCGAAUCUUUGAACGCACAUUGCGCCCGUCAGUAUUCUGGCGGGCAUGCCUGUUCGAGCGUCAUUACGCCCCUCAAGUCCCCUGUGGACUUGGUGUUGGGGAUCGGCGAGGCUGGUUUUCCAGCACAGCCGUCCCUUAAAUUAAUUGGCGGUCUCGCCGUGGCCCUCCUCUGCGCAGUAGUAAAACACUCGCAACAGGAGCCCGGCGCGGUCCACUGCCGUAAAACCCCCCAACUUUUUAUAGUUGACCUCGAAUCAGGUAGGACUACCCGCUGAACUUAAGCAUAUCAAUAAGCGGAGGA